rnacentral:rRNA from 1 species
ACGAACGCUGGCGGCGUGCUUCACCCCUGCCAGUCGCACGGAAAGGCCCUGCUUUUGUGGGGUGCUCGAGUGGCGAACGGGUGAGUAACACGUGAGUAACCUGCCCUUGACUUUGGGAUAACUUCAGGAAACUGGGGCUAAUACCGGAUAGGAGCUCCUGCUGCAUGGUGGGGGUUGGAAAGUUUCGGCGGUUGGGGAUGGACUCGCGGCUUAUCAGCUUGUUGGUGGGGUAGUGGCUUACCAAGGCUUUGACGGGUAGCCGGCCUGAGAGGGUGACCGGCCACAUUGGGACUGAGAUACGUCCCAGACUCCUACGGGAGGCAGCAGUGGGGAAUAUUGCACAAUGGGCGGAAGCCUGAUGCAGCAACGCCGCGUGCGGGAUGACGGCCUUCGGGUUGUAAACCGCUUUCGCCUGUGACGAAGCGUGAGUGACGGUAAUGGGUAAAGAAGCACCGGCUAACUACGUG